AUGUAUUUUUUAUGUCACCUGACUCUUUUUGUCUCUUUCUUAAACUGGUGCUUUCACCGAGCAAUCCUCAUCUACUCUUCUCCACAUGGCAUGAACACUAGGAAAAUCAACAUUUGGCUUUCAAGAACCACUCUGAGGUCCUCCUUGUUCCACGUUCUCAAAGUUUCUUCAGUAAAGUCACAAAGGGACCCCGAGAGAGAGGAACAGAAAAAACAGGCAGAGUUGCUGGGGAGGGAAUGAAGAAAAGCCUCUUCAGUGGUAGAGGUAGGCCUUUACCCAAGAUCGCUAUGAGACAUCUUUUUGUCUAGCUGGGAUCCACAGUCUGAGAAAAAUCAAUAAAAUUCUUUUUUUUUUCCUUUUGGUAAUGAGA
rnacentral:lncRNA from 1 species